UGGGGAAUAUUGCGCAAUGGGGGAAACCCUGACGCAGCAACGCCGCGUGAAGGAUGAAGGUUUUCGGAUCGUAAACUUCUUUGAUGAGGGACGAAGAAUGACGGUACCUCAAAAACAAGCCACGGCUAACUACGUGCCAGCAGCCGCGGUAAUACGUAGGUGGCGAGCGUUAUCCGGAAUUACUGGGUGUAAAGGGCGUGUAGGCGGGAAUGUAAGUCAGAUGUGAAACUCCGAGGCUUAACUUCGGAACUGCAUCUGAAACUAUGUUUCUUGAGUGCUGGAGAGUAAAGCGGAAUUCCUAGUGUAGCGGUGAAAUGCGUAGAUAUUAGGAGGAACACCAGUGGCGAAGGCGGCUUUCUGGACAGUAACUGACGCUGAGGCGCGAAAGCGUGGGGAGCAAACA
rnacentral:rRNA from 1 species